GACGAACGCUGGCGGCGUGCUUAACACAUGCAAGUCGAACGGAAAGGCCCUGCUUUUGUGGGGUGCUCGAGUGGCGAACGGGUGAGUAACACGUGAGUAACCUGCCCUUGACUUUGGGAUAACUUUAGGAAACUGGGGCUAAUACCGGAUAGGAGCUCCUGCUGCAUGGGGGGGGUUGGAAAGUUUCGGCGGUUGGGGAUGGACUCGCGGCUUAUCAGCUUGUUGGUGGGGUAGGGGCUUACCAAGGCAUUGACGGGUAGCCGGCCUGAGAGGGUGACCGGCCACAUUGGGCCUGCGAUACGGCCCAGACUCCUACGUGAGGCAGCAGUCGGGAAUAUUGCACAGUGGGCGGACGCCUGAUGCGGCAACGCCGCGUGCGGGAUGCCGGCCUUCGGGUUGUAAACCGCUUUCGCCUGUGACGAAGCGUGAGUGGCGGUAAUGGGUAAAGAAGCACCGGCUAACUACGUG
rnacentral:rRNA from 1 species